UUUUUGUAGGCAAUAUCAAGGGAAGCAAAACAUUUUAACCUUGGAGAAGGUAGAUAUUACAUAGUUGUAAUAUGGAGUGCCAUAAUUUGGCAAUGUUUCUUUGUUGGUGCUGUUGGAGUUAUUUACCUCUCUUCUUCUUUAAUGUCUGGAGUUAUGAUUGCAGUUUUACUGCCAAUUACUGAAGUAUUAGGAGUAAUUUUCUUUGAUGAAAAAUUCUCAGCUGAAAAGGGACUUUCACUUUUUCUUUCUCUUUGGGGUUUUGUUUCUUAUUUUUAUGGAGAAUUUAAACAAGCAAAGAAAGUUGAGAAGAAGAAAAUUCAAGAAAAUGAGAUGACAACAACAACACAAAUAGAACAUGUUUGACUUACUAUUUAUGGUUGUUACCUAUCCUAUUGUAUCGUAUAGUUAAAUUCGUCGUUAUAUAAUGAUGAAAAGUGUCAUUUUAUGUAAUGACUAGCUUAAUGUUGUCGUGAUGCUACCUUGUUUUCUGAUUACUUGGUAGUAUUUAAUUAAAGUUAUAUUUGGCAUAUAUAUUAAUACAUAAAUGUGUUUUUUAUUUUAUUUCAUCUAACAUGUAUUUCUUUCAAUUUUAAGUGCAUAAGUAGACAUUUAAACUAGUAUAGAGUUGAACAAAUAGACAUGUGCGUCUUAAUUGAUGUCCUACGUGGAAAUAUGCGUCCUAAUCAACAUUCUAUGUGGCGCUUUACAUUAUUAUUAGGACGAGUGUGUUUACUUGUUCAACUUUAAACUCUCUAUGUCCAUUUUUAAUUGUCCAUUCUGAAAAAUUAAGAGAUAAUUUAUUAUUCUGUAAAUUAUUAUUAAAUAAUAUUUAUUUCUUAAUAAUUAGAUGACUUAUAAUUAAUAGAGGUGAUUUAACAAAAUUAUCUUUUUAUUUUUUACUUCUUAAGGAACGUGUCAAGUCAAAUAUGAACAAAUAAAAAUAAACAAAAAAACUAUUUAUUUAUAAUAUAGCUCAAUAUUUUAUUUUAUUUUUUUAUAAAAAAGCCAUCUAAUAAGUAGAGUCUAGAAAUAGCUAAUUAGAACGUGAUUGCUUCUUUCUAUAGUGAACAAUAUUUGUAAUAAUUAUUAUCAUUCUUAAUGAAUGUGAAGAAUUUAUAUAUUAAAAGACACUUAUUUUGAAAUGUUCAAAGCAGUAGUUGCUUCGUCCUUAAUCAGAGGUCUCAGAUUCAAAUUUUGAAUAUGGAGAAAAUCCUCUUGAGAGCACCAUCCUUGAAUGGGUUCUGCAGUGCGUGAUCCAGAUUUAAUCGGAGCUCUAAUGUAGACUACAAACACCGAGUGAGAAAAAAAAUAGUUAUUACGAAUAUCAUUGAAGUUGGGAUACAAGGCACUCAUUUUGAAAUGUUCAAAGCAGUUGUUGUUUCACCCUUAAUCAGAGGUCUCAGAUUCAAAUUUUGGGUAUGGAGAAAAUACUCUUGAGAGCACCAUCCUUAAAUGAGUUCUAUAGUGUGUGAUCUAGAUUUAAUCAGAACUCCAAUGUAGACUACCAACACCGAGCCAGAAAAAAAAAAAAUAGUUGUUGUGAGUAUCAUUGAAGUUGGGAUACAAAGUACAAUUGCACAAAAAUGGAGCAAUGGAUGAGAAAGGUCAAACACUGAAAGAUGGAUGAUAAAUGGUUGAUAUAUAAUCAAGGUAAAUAUAAUCAUAAGGAAGGAAAUAAAGAAACAAAUCUUGUUUUCACUUUCACUAGAUUUUUUAAAAAAAAUAACUCCACUUAAAUUAUAUUGACAUUUAAGGUGGUUUAGCAUGGUACAUUCAAACUACCAAGUAUUGUUUGCAUAAAUUAUGACCAAACACCAUUUCAUUUUCAAAAAAUUCAAAUAAAUUAAAAUAAUAUUUUAUAAUAAUAUUUAAUAACUCGUAUAUGACAUCUAAUUUAUAAUAUUAUGUAAUUGUAUAUUUAUUUUGAGAUAUUACUCGAAUUUUAUAUUCUAUUUUUUUUUUUCACAGACAAACUAGCUCAUAAAAUUCAUUUUAUAAUUCAGAAGAUUGACUGAAAUUUCUGACCCAAAUUAAUCAUCUAUUUUCUUGUAACGUGAAUUGAAUUUUUGUAGUCCCAAUCACCUUUUAUUAUAAUGGAGACGUAAUAGUUGAUAAGUUAGAAAAUUAAAUGUCUGUCUAGCUAGAAUGGACUUUUUUCUUCAUUUUAAAAAUAAUAAAUUUCAUGCAUACCUUAUAUGGACACUUUAAUUCUUUAAUAUGUAUUUACCUUUUAAGAAUAUAUUUAACGUGUAGCUAAUUUGUAAACAUUAUAAUUUUGACGUGUCAAGUUCAAAGUAGUCAAAUAAACGAAGAGAUAUUUCAUUGGCUCAACCUAUCACGGUGAUCCGAUCAAUUAAAAGAGGACAUUUAAUGUAAUCCACUUAUAUUUUUGAAUUAUUAUAAUGUCAUAAUUAAUUCUUAUCUCAAUAAUUAGUUACCCCACUUUACGUAAGGUCACAACCUAUAUUUAUAUUUGAGAGGUUGGAUACGAUAUCAUAAAUUUAAUAUUUUUCCGCCAAUUUAUAUAAUGAUAUUUAUUUACAUUUCAAAAAAUAAAUUAAUUUAUAACUAUACUAAUGUUUAGAAUUUAUUUUAGAUUACAAAAUUUGUAUAGUUGAAUUAAGUUGUGUUUUUAUAUGUACAUAUUCAGUCGAUUUCUUAUAAACAAAUGUGCAGGGUUUGGACUAGGGUAGAUAUGUGGAGAUCGCAGAUUAGGGUAAAAGAUAAAUAGGUAGUAGAGUGUUUUCUUGCUUCUCAAAGGGUUUAUGCUUAAUGGUGUUUGUAGGGUCUUGGUUUGCUUCCUACCACCAUCAAUUUUAUGAUAUUUCGAUUAUUGCAAUAUUUUGUUAUUGUUAAUGUUUCUGUAGUAGUUGCUAUAUUUUCUACUCUGUCAUUUUUCCUUUUCAUACUUACUUUGAUUGCUCUACUCGAGUCGAGGGUUUUUCGAAAACAGUCUAUUUCUUUACCUUCACAAAAUAGUGAUAAGGUCUGCAUAUGUUGUCUCGGUAUAACAUUUAAUUUCCUCUAUUUUCAACUCACAUGGAUAUAUCUACCACACCUUAAUUGCAAUCUCUAUACUCUCUUCAUUUAAUUCAUAUAACAUGUCACUUACAUUAUUUUUGUAGGCAAUAUCAAGGGAAGCAAAACAUUUUAACCUUGGAGAAGGUAGAUAUUACAUAGUUGUAAUAUGGAGUGCCAUAAUUUGGCAAUGUUUCUUUGUUGGUGCUGUUGGAGUUAUUUACCUCUCUUCUUCUUUAAUGUCUGGAGUUAUGAUUGCAGUUUUACUGCCAAUUACUGAAGUAUUAGGAGUAAUUUUCUUUGAUGAAAAAUUCUCAGCUGAAAAGGGACUUUCACUUUUUCUUUCUCUUUGGGGUUUUGUUUCUUAUUUUUAUGGAGAAUUUAAACAAGCAAAGAAAGUUGAGAAGAAGAAAAUUCAAGAAAAUGAGAUGACAACAACAACACAAAUAGAACAUGUUUGACUUACUAUUUAUGGUUGUUACCUAUCCUAUUGUAUCGUAUAGUUAAAUUCAUCGUUAUAUAAUGAUGAAAAGUGUCAUUUUAUGAAAUGACUAGCUUAAUGUUGUCGUGAUGUUACCUUGUUUUCUGAUUACUUGGUAGUAAAAUAUUUUUAAAAAGUAUGAAAAAUCUUAUUUAUUAAUUUACUAUAUUUAAAAACACCAAUGUAAGGAAAUAAUAUUUUACUUUUUAGAAAAUGAUGUAUACAUCCUUAUUUAGGAAAAAAAUGCUCUCUACUGUAACAUCUCGCACCUAGAACGACUAGAAAGAGUUAAUAUCUGAAAAUAUUGAUUUUUGGAAAGAUUAAGGAAAUCUGGAAAAUUAUGUCUAAAUUAAGGAAGUAAGUUUUUGCCAUUUUCAAACGGCCAUAAAUCCUAGAUAAGGAUGAGUUAGGAGCAGUUCUUGAUAUGGUUGGAAAGCCCUUGGAAAUAUCUUUCCAACGCCGCCGAGUUUGUGAAAUUCCGACAUUGUAUGAGUGAGAUAUGCCUUUCGGAAGUUGGGCUGUUGGAUUGAGGAAAGUCCCAAUCCGGAUUUAAGGAAGGCCAAAGUAGUCUUUACUCUAAGUUAUUUCCUAAUUUGAUUUUAGGGGUUUAUUGGGGUAAAAACAGAACCUAAAUCAGUUUUGGAAAAUUAAAGAACGCUUAGGGCUUGGAGAAGAGAGAAAGGAAGAAAGAACGGGAGAAAAAGGCAAGAAUUCGUCAAAAUCAUCCAAGCUUGCGAGUGGAAUUCGUCGGGGGUUGAUCCCUAUUAAGGUAUGUGAGAUCUUUUAGUGACGGGGUUAGUUCACCCACACACCAAUUUGUUUCAAUUCAGCGAUUUUGAGUUGUUUACAUGUUAAGAAGUGAAGUUCUUGAAGAACAUUGUUGAAUUCUUGUUGGUUGAUUGUUGAAUGCCCAAUGUUGAGUUGAUUCAUGUUUCCGGGCUGUUUUUCGAGUUAGAUUGGUUGUGUAUUGAGGGUGCAAUUGAUCCUAAGUGUUUGGGGAAAGAACUGCGGAAGAUUGGAGGGUUUAGAGAUGAAAAACGGAGAAGAAAAAUCGAGAACACCUGGUUAACGGGGCUGGGACUCCGCGCCAGCCAGCGCGCCCCACGCCUCUCAAAGCGCCAAGGACGCCAGUUCACCCCAUUCUUCCCCCAUCUUUUCGUACUAGUUUCUAAGCGAUGUACCUACGUUUUCUAGUUGAUUCCAACACUCUAAGGUACAUCUAACAUCAUGAAAUCAUCCAUAAACAUGAGAUCGUGAACCUUGAAUCCAUAAUCCAAUUCAAGGAAAGUUAAGAUCAAAGUCAAAGAAGUUAAGAGUCAAGUCUAGAAGUUAAGAAGCAAGUCAAAGCAAAGUUUCUUAAAGUUUUCAAGAGUCUUUAUUAAACGUUUAAAAUUCGUUUUAAGGUGUUGACACCCAAUUUUGGACCUCCACAUUAUAAAUUUAAUCAUCGAACUUCUUCAAUUUCAAACGAUAAAAAUAAUUAGUUUUAUAAAAUUUCAAAAAAAUAAAUAUAUAUAUAUAUAUAUAUAUAAUAUAGUUCGUAAGUUAUUUUUAAAUAGAUUUGCUACUUUUGUGAGUUUUUAAAUAAUAUAUAUCUUUUUAUAUAAUUACACAUAUAACUAGUACAUUCUACGAAUAUUCAAAAAUCGCCUCAAAAAGAUUUUAGUUCUACUCAAAUAUUUGGUUAAUUAGUUUAGUAGUUUAUAUUUUAAAUAAUUUAGUUUAUAAUCAAGUUGAUUGUUUUAUUUUGUUAAAAUUAAGAAGCUCAUUAAUUAAUUUGUACUAAUUCAUCUUAUUUAAAUUUUGGCCGAUUUCAUCAAUUAAAUUCAAAUCGGCUAAGUUUUUAACUUCAAUUGGUUCUAAUUAUAUUUCAUUACCCACCUUAAACCCAUUUGAGACCAAGUUUUGGGCUAUUUUCUCAAUAAUUUUCGGCCCAAUUCCAUUCCCACCCACCCAACUCUUACUUUCAAUUCCCAGCCCACCGAUUUGCAAACAAAACAAGCCCAACCCACUUUCUUUUCCCACAAUACCAUGCAUUACAUAACCCAACAUUACACACAUACAACAAAACCAAUUACCCCUGGCCCACCUAUAUUUCCAAUUCAAUACAACAAUAAUACCAACAUUACGUACAACAACAAUUCAAAAAAGAGAGACCCACCAGCUGUACACCAACAAUACAUAAUUCUUAGUCGGCUGUUAGUCACUGUUUAAUUCGUAAUACCUCGGCAUGAGGUAUAUGUUCUUAGUCGUUUUCAUCGGGUUAGUUGCAAUAUGGAGUUAAAGUUUUUUUUGUAGAUUUGUGCUCAAUAUCGUGGUCUCUCUGCUUCUCGAGUUUGAGUUAGCUGUGAUUUUCCGCUUUAUGUGUUUUGUUUGGCUAUAAUGAAUUUUUUUAAUUUUUUUCCGUAUCUUGCCGGCUUUAAAUUCCAGAAGCUCUUUUUCUUUUCUUUGUUUACGUUGUUUUCUUUAAAGCAAAUAAGGCAAAAGCUUGACAACUAAUUGAUAGAGAAGCUCUGUGUUGUGCUAUUGUCUAUUUAGCUCUGGGUUCUUUUGUGCUAGGCAUUGACGCCAUAUAUUUCCUCUAAUAUACGAUACUUUUUCCACCUUAACAUAUCCACGUUUGCCUUAUCUCGCUGUUCCAUUUCCUUUUGUCAAAACUUGUUCGUUUUAAAUUUCGAUUGAUAUUUCUUUAGAAAAUUUUGAACAUGUUGUCAUUUUUGUCUUCUUGUUGCCUACAAUCCGUCUAAUUAGCUUUUUUUUAGGACGUUAUGAGUUCAUUCAAAAAAAAAUUAAUUAAAAAUAAAAAAGAAAGGAAAAUUAUAUAUGAAGUGCACUAUAAUGACCAGAAUGUUUAGUUUGUUUUGAUUUGGUCUAAAUUUAUUUUUUCUUACUAUGCCAUCUCUCAAUUUGUCAAUUUUACAAGAUUUGUUACUAUUCCAAUAUUAAUUUCAUAUGGCUUUGUUUGUUCGUAUUGUGUGCAUAUUCUUGACAUUUCAUUUAAUUGCAUGUUAAUUUGAGGGUAUGUCAUGGAAAUAGGGAAUGGGCUGAGAUCGAAAUAGAAUUUGCUCAUAAUUUGCAUGUCAUACUUGCCCAUGGUGUCUGGUUUAUACUUUUAGUUUUGGUUUCUUGGCUUGAAUGACACAUGUGGUAUAGUUUGGUCCUUUUUAAAAAAUAAAAAAUAAAAAAUAAAAAUAAAAUAAAUAAAUAAAUAAUAAAAUUUGUAGUAUCUAUGAGUAUGAAUCAAAACAAUUUUGUCCAUUCUUUUCAUUGUAGGUAGUAACGAGUAAUUGGCCAAGUCAUUCGUUUCUAUUAGAUUAGUCCUUAAAUAUUUUAUUAUGAUUUCGUCAUGCCGAAUUAUCAGUCACUUUAAUGUUGUUCAUUUUAUUUUAUUUCGUCAUCCUAUGCUAAUAUGAUUUUAUUUGUCUUUGUAUGUAAAAUCUGUCAAAGUCCUCAUGGACUGUAUCUUCGCAUUUCCAAGGGGGCCAUGGAGGCCCCAAAAUUCUUGUACUGAGUCAGACCCCCCGAAAAUUCGGUGAACAAGGUUCGGAGCAGAUAUACAAGAUCGUAUAUGCUAGUAUACAUCUAGUGUAUACGAAAGAGGGAAAAUGGGCCUAAAGGCCCCAAAUUUUGAAAAAUUGUAAUUUGUUAUUUUGGGCCUAUUCCCUUGUCAUUAAAUUUUGCUAUUACUUUGUUAGUUUUAAGGGCAGGUUCGGCCCAAAACGAAAAUGGGCCCAAAUACUGGUCCAGGCGGAUAGAAACCAUAUUUGGGUCCAAUCCUCUUUCCCUCUUCACUUUACUGUGUUUGUUUUGCGUGUUAGUAUUUGUCGUUAAUCUUAGGGUCGAAAAGUUCAAAUCCCCGAAAGACGCUCAUUUCGUUUUAACAAUUUAACCAAAUCGAUCAUUUUUCAAAAGACUUAAAAGAAUAAAUUUCGAGAAGUAUCCCACUUAGAUCGUAGGUCAAUAUUUCCCUUUUUCCCUUUUAUAACCGCCUCAACUAUAAAAUAGUUCAAUCGUUCUAUCCAAAUUGAGUUAAAGUAUUUUUAGCCAAAAAAUUAAUUGUCGGAUAACCACAUUAGUGGAUAUUCUAGGUGCUUUUAAAACCUUCCUAGAAUGUUAAUAAGAACCUCGAACCCCUUUAUAAGUUUUCACUAGAUUCCUGUUUUAGUCUUGUGGAAAUGAAUAGUUUUCUUAAUUUCACCUUAAAAAUUAAGUGGCGACUCUUAAAACCAGUCUAAAUAUAUAUUUUAAAUAAAACAUAAGGCUCAAGUUUUCAGUAAAGUAAAGAGUAAAGAGUUGAGUUCAUUUCUCAAAAGUUAUUAGGGAACUAAGUAUUCCCAAAGAAGUUUAUAAAUGUUUUCACAUUUGAGCAAGAAAGGAACUAUGUUUUCCAAAAGAGCCUUUGGGCUAGUUUUCAGUAAAGGGAACAUCGAUUCCAAGAGAGCCUUUGGGCUAAACUUUGAGCAAUUAUAUCAAACUAAAGAAAGAGGUGUUUAAAACACAUAUGAGCUAAAGUAUAUUUUGGGAGUAGUAUUGAGCACCGAAUUGGAGACGCGAGUUCAUAUUAACUCAACUCUCCAUAAGAACCAUGUAGCCAACAUGGGAUUUAACGGGUUAUACUUUUUAGAUGAUCACGUAAGUUAAGCUAGUGGAUCCACUAAGUUAAGUAAGGUCCUAUGUCAUGGCGAGGUAUAGGAUGGUCCUUGUGCAACGUAAGGUAAAACGUUGUACCAUCACUAGGGCUCAUAGUGAUGGUUGUCAGUUAAAGAAUCUCCCACAAAAGUUAUAUUACUUUUAUAUAUAAGUAAAGUUGAGUUUGUUAUUGCUUUAUCUUUUAACAAACUAAGUUGUUUACACUGUUUUACAAGCUUUAUAUAUAUAUUGCAUGUGUCUUAUUGCUUUAUAUUGAGUUUAGUUAUUCAUGAGUUGUACAAAGCCAAGGUAAGUGUUCCUUCUUACUCCUUUCAAACUUAAGUUGUUGUUUAGCAUUCCAACUCGCAUACUCGUACAUUCAAUGUACUGAUGCCAGUUGGCCUGCAUCUUAUUAUGAUGCAGACGCAAGUAACCAGGAUCAGCAUCCAGUGCGUCAUUGAUCUAGUCGAGCACUCCAGAGUCAGUGGUGAGCCUCCUUGCAUUCCGAAGGACUCUUUUAUUCGCUUUCCUAGUUUUCUUUAUUAGGAUGUUGUGGGGUCUGUCCCAACAUCCAUCUCAGUAUUAUAGAGGCUUCAUAUACACUUAGAUAGUAGUUGAGUCUCUCAUCUAUGUAUUUGCAGAUACUUUGUUUUGAGACAGAAGUUGCCAAUUUGGCUAAGAGGUUAUCAUUUAAACAAUUACAUGAGUUUAUUUUGUUGAGUUAAGUCUUCCGCUGAGUUAAGUAAGCCAGGUCAAGGGUUCGCUUGGGGCCAGCAAUGGUCUUCGAGUGCCAGUCUCGCCCAGGGUGUAGGCUCGGGGCGUGAUUAUACAUUCUGGAUCUUGGCAUGCGGAGGUAAAAGUUUAUGCAUACCGAAUAUUUAUAUCAAGAUAAUAUAACUUACUUAUUUAUUAUAAAGUUAAGGGCGUGUUUGGAUGGGCUUAUAAAAAGUACUAUUUGUUGACACCCAACUUUGACCUUCCACGAUAGAAAUUAAUUUUUGAGCUUCUUAAAAUUCCAAACGAUCUGAAAUAAGUGACUUUAUAAAAUGCAAAAUAUUUUUCAAGUUAUUUUAAAUAGUUUUGUCACUUUUUAUAAUUUUUAGAUAAUAUAUAUGUUUUACAUAAUUAUAUAUAUAAACUAGUAUAUUUUAUAAAUAUUUGAGAAUCGUCUCAAAAAGAUUUUGUUUUAAUUAAAUAUUUGGUUAGUUAUUUUAAUUAUAUAAUAGUUUAUAUCUUAAAUUAAUUAGUUUAUAAUUAUGUUAAUUAUUUUGUUUCGUCAAAAUAAAGAAGCUUAUUAAUUAAUUUGUAUUGCACUUUUAGUCAUUUCUUGCCUUACCUUAAACCCAUUAAGAGACCAACUUUGGGCCAUUUUCUAGUGACCUAAUUCAGCAAAUUUGGGCCUAACCCCUAGUUAAACAAUUACAGCAGCCCACUAGAAACCCAUUUUGACAUUUACCUUCCAAUUCCCUACAGCCCACUCCAGUACACAAUUUCAAUUCAAAGACCAAACAAUACUUAGCAACACAUACAGCAACAACACACCGAUACAGACCCCACCACUGCACUUCGUUCUUCUUCCCAGCCAAAAUCAGAAACGAAACCCAGAAAAAAACCAAAAUCGUGAGUCCAGCAGCAAAUCGAAGCCCAAAAUCGCAAAAUCCAGCAAGGAAUUCACGUCCAGCAGCCUAGGAAAUCGACCCACGCGCCUCAUCUUCUUCCUCACGUCCCUUUCGAUUCGUAUUAACAUCGCAGCAGGCACGCGCUCUGUCCCCCUUUCCCCUUUCGGAAUGAGUCAAAACCUCAAGGAAAAGGUGUCUCUCCUUAAUGGUGAAACUUUUUUCGAAUUUUGAAUUAGAAAUGGGCCUCUUUUCUGCCGAUUUUUCGUCGGUUUCCCUCCAUUUCCGAACCCUUUUUUUCCCAUAUAUGUUAGCCUUUGAUUCACUGUUUGGGGGGCGAGGAUGAGAAACGAAAAUAAAAUAUACACUAAAGUUAUAGUUACACUGCUACACACUAGUAUUCGGAUCAGUUUCUUAAAUCACAUAGAGGAGAAAAUACAAGUUCUGAUUAUUCUCGUCCGCUUCUGCUUUGAUUUUGCUGAAAUUCUUGGAGUCGUGUCUUGGUGGAAUCCUCCUCGUAUCUAGCUCGUCGUCUCGAUUCGCUGCCUGAAAAGAGGUGAAUUUUUUUUUCUCUUAAAUUCAGUUUAUUUUGUUCUUUGCUGCUCCAUAUCUUUAUUUAAGUGUCCUUAAUGGUGUUUUAGUUUUCACAUCUUAAUCAGCUUAAUGAUUAUCUCUGUGCUAAUUUCGUAAUUUGUUCUUGUUAGAUUUUUGGAGUUGUCUAGUGAGCAAAUGUUAUCGUCGCUUAUCUCAUCCUAGUUUGGUCAGUGCUUUGCUAUGAACAUAAGGGAAGCUAGUUUAAGCUUGAUUUAGUUCCAUGAAAUUGAUUAAAAUCUCGUCUUCAUUUAAUGUCGUAACCUUUGUUUUCAAAUCUAUCUUGUUAACGCUUUAGUUUAGAUUUAGUCUCAUUAUGAACUACUAUCCUCUUCACUUCGUAGUUUGUUGUAUUAUUUGAGAUUGUUUUGCCUUUUUUUUUUCCUUCUUUGAUUUAAGUUAACUUGGCCGAUCUUUUAACUAUCUUGGGAGUUCAAAAAUGAGGCAGAAUCACAAAGUUAAUCAAUGUGUCGGUUCUUUGUUUAAGAUUAUCUCGAAUUAUUACCCCAUGGAUUUUAUUUUAUUUUUAUUUUCCUUAGUCCAAGCAUACCAUCCAUGUUGUAAGCGUAUUAAGUGUUCUGUUCAUUAUGUUACCAUGUAGUUAGUUUAAAUUUGAUGAUUCAUAGUGUGAUUACCAUCCAUGUUGUAAGUGUAUAAGUGUUAUGUUCAUUAUGGUGUUUAUCCCUUUCACCCCGAGUAGUGCUGCCUCAUUUUCUUUUGUUUAUUUAAAUGUUCAAAUUGGUCAGUUCGUCAUAUGUUUGCCAUUUUCUUCAAUAAGUCUAAAAGAAUUGGUUUUUGCUUUGGGGAAUGUAUUAAAUAGUGUCUUUACUCAUUUUAAUGGUGUGGCCUGUGGUUUGGGUGCUUGAUUCUCUCCUUGUCUAAUUCGAUUGAAAAUUAUGCUUAGAUGCAUAUUUCUUUAGUCAUUUGCUAAUUAUGUCUCCUUUGUUUCCGCAUGAACUAUCGAAUGAGUCUAUCGGACUCCGGCUGCAUUUCUUCUCUUCGAGCCAAGAAGGCUCGAACCGUGUCCUUUUCGAGUCAGCCAGCUAUAGAAAUUGACAAACAAAUCCCGGAGCCGAAAGAAUAUGCAACAGGUUGGAGAAUCAAAAUUUGGGCCAAAGGCCCACUCUUUAUUUCAAAAUUGUAAUUUGUUAUUUUGGGCCUAAGCCCACUUAUUUGCUAUUACUUGUUAGUUUUUUUUUAGGACAGGUGGAGGAAUUGGGCCUAAGGCCCAAAAGAAAGAUAUCUAUUUUAUGUUAGACUAGAACAGGUACCAAGUGAUUUAAAUGGGCCGAAAGCCCAAAAUGAAAAUAGGCCCAAGUACUGGUCCAGGCGUACACAAAAAACCAUACUUGGGCCCAAAUCUCUUCCCCUCUUUGCUUUAUCGUGUUUGUGUGCUUGUUAAAUAUUUGCCGCUAAUCUCAAGGUCGAAAAAUUCAAAUCCCCGAAAGACGUCCAUUUUGAUUUAACAGUUUAACUAAACCAGUUAGUUCUUAACAAGACUUAAAGAAAUAAUUUCGCAAGAUAGUUCCCUUAGAUAAUAUUUAAAUAUCUCCCCUUUAAAAUAGUUCAAAUUUGCAAUUUAAGAUAAGUUAAUCUAUUUUAGCCAAAUAAUUAAUCGUCGGAUAACCGCAUUAGCGGGUGUUCUAGGUGCUUUCAAACCCUUCCUAGAACACUAAUAUGAACCCUCGAACCUCCUUGUAUUUUCAAUUGAUUCCCUGUUUUAAUCUAUUGAAAGAAUAGUUUUCUUGAUUUUUCUUAAAAAUUAAGUGGCGACUCUAAAAAUCAUUCGAAAUUCAUUUUUAAAAUAAAACACUAUUUUCAUCCAUAUUUACUUGUUAAAUAUUUUUUAAUUUGAUUUCCCUUCUUACUUGUCAUUUUUGAAAAAUCAAGAAAGGACAAAUUAUUUUUUGUUAUUAUACCUUCAAUUUAUUAACAUUGAGUUAAUAUUUUUGAAAAAUGAACUGAGUAAAUAUAUUUGGGAUCCUAUUAAUUAAUAAAAAUAAAAUGGUAAACUUUCUAUAUCAAUUAAUAUUUUUUUAAUAAGUGUGCAAAGUAAAAAAUUGACAAGUAAAAAGGGACGAAGUGAGUAACUUAUGUAGAUGGUACCCUACUUUUGACUUAUUUUAAAACUUUUUGGCCUAAAAGUAGGUGCUUAAAAACAUUUCAUAACCUUUUCAAACACCUCCAAAAUUAAAAAAAAACUACUUAAAAAUCAAAAACACCUAAAAAUAAGUUAAUACAAACGUGCACUAAGUUAGUGACAUUAAAUAAGAAAGGGAAAAUUACACGGAUAAGAAAACAUUACUAGUUGAUUAGCUAACGUAGCUCGCUAUAGUUUGAAUUAAUUACAGCUCACAACUUAAAUUUAGCUGUAAUUACGUCGCCUCUCUCCUCUUUUACACAUAUACAUAGACAAUUGUAUGACAGAUAUACAAAUACAAUUAGCCUCUCUCCACUCUCUGCCUUCUCUCGCUCGCCUCUCUCUUCCCACUCCCAAUAUCGCUCUACUCUCUCCUCCCGCUCCCAAUCUAAUCUCGCUCGUCAGAUAUACAAAUGCAUAUGUAUAUCAGUUACAUAUAUGCUUGCCUCUCUCCUCCCUCUCCUAAUAGAAAUUGUCUCUCUCCUCCCUCUCUCAAUCUCGCUCACCAGAUAUACAAAUACAUAUGUAUACCAGUUACAUAUAUACAAUUAUUUGACAAAUAUACAUAUACAAUUCGACAGAUAUACCAUAUACAUUCGCAUCUCUCCUCCCUCUCCCAAUCUCGCUCGCCUCUCUCCUCCCUCUAACAUGUAUUUACGAAUCGUAAUUAGCAAACUAUAGCUAUGGAGCAUAAUUAAGUUCCUCAAUAUGAAAUUGAGUCCAAUAAAAUGGUCUAAAGAUAAAUUAAAGAAGAGCUAAGGUGGUCUAAAUUCAUGGGCUGGCCCAGUCAGCUUAGGCCCAUUAAUUCCAAACAUCCCCCUCAAGCUGGAAGCCCUAAAUGGCUCCACGCAUAAUAACAUAGUUUUUAUCUGAGUUAUCCUAUAUAAUAACACGGUCGUUGAUGCCGUUCCGAGCCCAAAUCCAGCUUGGAAAGUAACAUUGUGUUGCUCUAUGUCAAAGAAUUUAGUAAGAACAUCAACCAAGUGUAAUGUAGUAGGAAUUACAUAUUGCAAGGAAAUCAGUCCCUCAUUUAACUUUCUCGCUCAAAGUUAUAGUCAAUCUCAAUGUGUUUAAUGCGUUCGUGGAAAAUAGGAUUAUUGACGAAUAAAAAAAGUUUCAAAAAAUAAUAAUUAACUUACUUUUCACUUUUUGAAGUUGUACUUGAAAUUAUGUUCAAAUAUGAAUAUUAUUUCGAAUAUUCUUUUCAUGAUGUAUAAUAAAACACUACUUCAUCUUCUACUUCAACUACAUAAAUUUCAAAUAAAAUGAAAAAUAUUUGAAGUCUACGACCAAACACCUAUUAAGAAAUAUGAGAGAGUUGCAUUACAUCCUCAGAAUGUCAUGCAUUUAGAAGCAUUGAAACUAAGAGUCCGUUUGGAUUGACUUAAAAAUUGAUCAAACUUACUUUUAAGUCAUUUUUAGUGGUUGAAAGUGUUUGACAAGAUUAAAAAUAACUUAAAAGAACACAAGUUAAUCUAUCCCCUUCUGCGAACCAAUUUUGGAAGUGUUUGGCAAGGAACAUAAUACUCUUCUUCGUGGAACUUCAUUGCCUCAUUGGACUCCCUCCGUCCAAUUGUCCCACCAAAAAAACUACUCCAUCUGUCCUCGUCUCAAUUUAUGUGACAUCUUUCGGACUUCUAGAUUCAAACAAGUAUUUUUUUUAUUGUAGUUUUUUUUUUAUAUCUUUUAAAUAUUUUGAGUCGUGAAGUAUUGUAACUUAUAGAACUUUUAUGUAGUAUUCAAUAUGUAAAUUUUAUUUCAAAAAAAUUAAAGAUGUCAUGCGUGAAUUCAUGAUCAAAAGUUAAACCGUUUGACGCCCGAAAUUUGAAUCGUAACACAUAAAUUGAAAAAAGGAAGUACUAUUUUCUAUUAAUAUGCUAUAUCAUGUGAUCUUCUACAAUCUUUCUAGCUUGAAGCAUGUUUUUUCAGAGGUGAGAAUUACUAGAAGUCCAUACAUAAUUAGCAGUAGCUAGGGUGAGCCCAAGCUCACACAAUAUUAUUUAUGUUUAAAUAAUAUAAACAGUAAAAACGAUUGGGAUAAAUCUCCACCACCUUUUAAUAUACAAAGGUGGUUCUAAUGUCUUCCAUUCUCUUUAUGCUAAUCUCACUUUCUUCACAUCAGUAGGGUAGCAAAUAAUUUGCAAGAAGAUCUAAUAGUGUGUGGUAUUUUUUAUUUUAAUUAUCAUGACCAUUAAAACCACCAAGAGUAGUUGGCAAAUUAAAGUGCUUCUCUAAAAGUUUAAAGACACUUUUGGGAGAGAGAGUGGCACUUAAGGAAAUGUAUGGAACACACGUUAGAUAUUUUAUUUGUUCGUGUAAUAUACCAUAAAUUCAAAAUAUUACAAUUGAAAUAAAAUGAACGAAAAAUGAAUUAAAAAGUAUUCAGGCUGAGAUGCGGAUAUCUCACUCUCUUUAAGUAGAUUCAAGUCACUACGACAUAAUAUACACCGAUCCAACAAUAAUAUUCUCGACUUGUCCCCUCCAGGAUACAACAAUCCACCAAAAUCGUACAACUUCUUAUAUAGUGAAUUUAUGAAAAAAUACUAUAUGGUUUGUUUGGAAGCAAAAAAAAUAAUAUAUAAUUAAAAUACCGAUCCAGGAUCGGCAUUUUUUAUGAACAUAUAAAUUUAAGUAGUAUAAAUAAAAAAACAACAUAAUUUUUAAUCAAUAAACAUCACUGACUGCCUAGUGGUAAAAAUUAUCUACCACUAAUAAUUUUAGAUCAAUUUUUUUAGUAGUGUCUAUGACAAAUCAUAAUUAAUGAGCACUCUUUAUCAAUUGGUGGUACAUAUAUUAAUAUUGUGCGCUGUUCUUACUUGAUCUUUUACAUUACAAGGUUCUUGUUAUGACACCAAAGCUUAAAAUUAUUGAUAUAUAGUGACCAUUUCAAUGAGAAAAUAAAGUUGACUAAAACCAUAUUUGUCCCAUCCUUGUUAUUUUCAAUCAACUUUUCUCUUCACAAGUUGAGUAUGGUUUAAAGAGCAAGAGAAGAUAGAGUGAUAAUUUAUUAUGACUUGUUAAAUUAUAUUGUUAAUAUAAAAAAUAUAUAUAUUAUCUUUGUAUAUAUAUAACUUAAAUCUUUUUCUUAUUGUUAUUAUCUUCCAUUUUGAAGCAAUAAAAGUUAUUAAUAUUAUUGUAUUUAAUCUGUUUAUUCCACCUUAUGUCUCACAAGCAAUUAAUUAAUUCAAUCAUAAAAAAGCAAGAAAAUGAUGGCUAACGAACUCUUAUAGAGCUCACCAAACCUAUUGAAUGUUGUGAUUAUUUCAUCUAAAUGAUUAAAGAGAGUAUUUUAUUUAUUUAAUUAAUUAAUUAUGUUUUUACUAAGCUUCUCACAUGAGCUUAUUUAACAUUUCAUUUUGACCCAUUUCAGUUCAAUUCCAUCCAACUAUUUGGACAUUUGUUAAUUCCUACGCAAAUUCCUGCAUUUAGGAUCAGAGCUCCAAAAAAGAAAAAAAUAUUCAAUCAGAUGACACUUUAAAUCUCUAUAAAUUUGUAGGCCUUAUUUGUUUAUACUUAAUGGGGUAUUGACGUGAGAGAUUCAGAUCUUAGGCCCUUGGUUGAAUGUAUUUGUUUCCAUUAAGAUUUAAGCACAUAAUUGAUUUGAAUAGAGCUUAACCAUUUCAGUUCAACUCCAUCCGACUAUUUGGACAUUCAUUAAUCCCUAUGCAAAUUCCUGCUUUCAGGAUCCUGCAAAUUCCAUCACUAUUACUAUCAAGCGCCACAAUCGAGAUAGUCAUUACAACACCAACCAUCUCCAUCAUUAUUACUAGCCAUUUAGACCAACCAUUACUAUCAUGAGUCACUACAACACCAAACCAGGGGCGACUCUAAUAUAUCGGUGGCCUUAAGCCAAAUUCGAAUGGAGGCCUUAAAUUCAAAUAUAUAUUUUUUAUGAAGUUUAUUAUAGCUAAUUAUUUAAUUUUUCUUGAGACAUAAUAUUCAUAAUUUGUCGAACUUCUAUUACUUCUUUGCUCUUUUAUGAAAAGAUUUUAUUUUCUAUAAGCAAUACUCUAUAUUUUAAAAAAAAUAAAAAUACUUAUAACUUAUUUUAUUUUUUUUAAAAUGAGGCCCCUCAAAUUUUGGGGCCUAAGGCAAUUGCUUUUUUUUCAAAGUNNNNNNNNNNNNNNNNNNNNNNNNNNNNNNNNNNNNNNNNNNNNNNNNNNNNNNNNNNNNNNNNNNNNNNNNNNNNNNNNNNNNNNNNNNNNNNNNNNNNNNNNNNNNNNNNNNNNNNNNNNNNNNNNNNNNNNNNNNNNNNNNNNNNNNNNNNNNNNNNNNNNNNNNNNNNNNNNNNNNNNNNNNNNNNNNNNNNNNNNNNNNNNNNNNNNNNNNNNNNNNNNNNNNNNNNNNNNNNNNNNNNNNNNNNNNNNNNNNNNNNNNNNNNNNNNNNNNNNNNNNNNNNNNNNNNNNNNNNNNNNNNNNNNNNNNNNNNNNNNNNNNNNNNNNNNNNNNNNNNNNNNNNNNNNNNNNNNNNNNNNNNNNNNNNNNNNNNNNNNNNNNNNNNNNNNNNNNNNNNNNNNNNNNNNNNNNNNNNNNNNNNNNNNNNNNNNNNNNNNNNNNNNNNNNNNNNNNNNNNNNNNNNNNNNNNNNNNNNNNNNNNNNNNNNNNNNNNNNNNNNNNNNNNNNNNNNNNNNNNNNNNNNNNNNNNNNNNNNNNNNNNNNNNNNNNNNNNNNNNNNNNNNNNNNNNNNNNNNNNNNNNNNNNNNNNNNNNNNNNNNNNNNNNNNNNNNNNNNNNNNNNNNNNNNNNNNNNNNNNNNNNNNNNNNNNNNNNNNNNNNNNNNNNNNNNNNNNNNNNNNNNNNNNNNNNNNNNNNNNNNNNNNNNNNNNNNNNNNNNNNNNNNNNNNNNNNNNNNNNNNNNNNNNNNNNNNNNNNNNNNNNNNNNNNNNNUAUAUGUACAUAUUCAGUCGAUUUCUUAUAAACAAAUGUGUAGGGUUAGGGUUUGGACUAGGGUAGAUAGGUGAAGAUCGCGGAUUAGGGUAAAAGAUUAAUGGAUAGUGGAGUGUUCUCUUACUUCUCAAAGGGUUUAAGCUUAAAUAGUGUUGGUUGUAUGAAGUAAUAGCUUUAUUUUUGUAGUGUCUUGGUUUGACUUUCUACCACCAUCAAUUUUAUGAUAUUUCAAUUAUUGCAAUAUUUUGUUAUUGUUAAUGUUUAUGUAGUAGUUGCUAUAUUUUCUACUCCGUCAUUUUUCCUUUUCAUACUUACUCUGAUUGCUCUACUUGAAUCAAGGGCUUUUUGAAAUUAGUCUAUUUCUUUACCUUCAUAAGAUAGUGAUAAGGUCUACGUGCGUUGUCUCGGUAUAGCAUUUAAUUUCCUCUAUUUUCAACUCACAUGGAUAUAUCUACCACACCUUAAUUGCAAUCUCUAUACUCUCUUCAUUUAAUUCAUAUAACAUGCCACUUAUUAUUUUUGUAGGCAAUAUCAAGGGAAGCAAAACAUUUUAACCUUGGAGAAGGUAGAUAUUACAUAGUUGUAAUAUGGAGUGCCAUAAUUUGGCAAUGUUUCUUUGUUGGUGCUGUUGGAGUUAUUUACCUCUCUUCUUCUUUAAUGUCUGGAGUUAUGAUUGCAGUUUUACUGCCAAUUACUGAAGUAUUAGGAGUAAUUUUCUUUGAUGAAAAAUUCUCAGCUGAAAAGGGACUUUCAUUUUUUCUUUCUCUUUGGGGUUUUGUUUCUUAUUUUUAUGGAGAAUUUAAACAAGCAAAGAAAGUUGAGAAGAAGAAAAUUCAAGAAAAUGAGAUGACAACAACAACACAAAUAGAACAUGUUUGACUUACUAUUUAUGGUUGUUACCUAUCCUAUUGUAUCGUAUGAUUAAAUUCGUCGUUAUAUAAUGAUGAAAAGUGUCAUUUUAUGUAAUGACUAGCUUAAUGUUGUCGUGAUGCUACCUUGUUUUCUGAUUACUUGGUAGUAUUUAAUUAUAAGUUAUAUUUGGCAUAUAUAAUACAUUAAUGUGUUUUUUAUUUGAUUUCAUCUAACAUGUAUGUCUUUCAAUUUUAAGUGCAUAAGUAGACAUUUAAAGUAGUAUAGAGUUGAACAAAUAUACAUGUGCGUCUUAUUUGAUGUCCUACAUGGAAAUAUGCGUCCUAAGCAACAUUCUAUGUGGCGCUUUACAUUAUUAAUAGGACGAGCGUGUUUACUUGUUCAACUUCAUACAAGUUUAAAUGUCUAUACUUAUGCACACCCAAAAUUGGAGAGCAUAGAUAUCAGAUGAACCAAGUUAAAGAACAUAUUUAUUUAAUAUUAUAAGUUUAUUUUUCGGAUUGCUGAUUUACAACAUUAUAAAAUAACGAAAGACCAUGUAAUCUAUUCAAACAUUGCAUUCAUAAAAACAAAUAAAACACUAGUAUAGUACUAUCGAUAUGAAAAGAUAUGUAACAACGAAUAUUCAAACAAAAAUCAUGUACGUACAUAGUUUUUUUUUUUUUUUUUUGUUUCUCACUCGGUGUCUGAUAUCCCACAUUGGAGCACGACUGAAUUCAAAUUCGCGCCUAAAAAUCUCACAUGAGAUUUAACGGGUCAUACUUUUUAGAUGAUCACGUAAGUUAAGCUAUUGGAUCCACUAAGUUAAGUAAGGUCCUAUGUCACGGCAAGGUAUAGGAUGGUCCUUGUGCACCGUGAGGUAAAACGUUGUACCAUCACUAGGGCUCAUAGUGGUGGUUGUUAGUUAAAGAAUCUCCCACAAAAGUUAUAUUACUUUUAUAUAUAAGUAAAGUUGAGUUUGUUAUUGCUUUAUCUUUAACAAACUAAGUUGUUUACACUGUUUUACAAGCUUUAUAUAUAUAUUGCAUGUGUCUUAUUGCUUUAUAUUGAGUUCAGUUAUUCAUGAGUUGUACAGAGCCAAGGUAAGUGUUCCUUCUUACUCCUUUCAAACUUAAGGUGUUGUUCAGCAUUCCAACUCGCAUACUUGUACAUUCAAUGUACUGAUGCCAGUUGGCGUGCAUCUUAUUAUGAUGCAGAUGCAAGUAACCAGGAUCAGUAUCCAGCGUGCCGUUGAUCUAGUCGAGCACUCCAGAGUCAGUGGUGAGCCUCAUUGCAUUCUGGAGGACUCUUUUAUUAGCUUUCCUAAUUUUCUUUAAUAGGAUGUUGUGGGGUCUGUCCCAACAUCCAUCUCAGUAUUAAGUUGAGUCUCUCAUCUAUGUAUUUGCAGAUACUUUGUUUUGAGACAGAAGUUGCCAAUUUGGCUAAGGGGUUAUCAUUUAAACUAUUACAUGAGUUUAUUUUGUUGAGUUAAGUCUUCUGCUGAGUUAAGUAAGCCAGGCCAAGGGUUCGCUUGGGGCCAGCAAUGGUCUUUAUGUGCCAGUCUAGCCCAGGGUGUAGGCUCGGGGCGUGACAUCUACAUUCUGGAUCUUGGCAUGCUGAGGUAAAAGCUUAUGCAUACCAAAUAUUUAUAUCAAACUAAUAUAACUUACUUAUUUAUUAUAAAUUUAAGGGCGUGUUUGGAUGGGCUUAUAAAAAGUACUAUUUUCAUCCAUAUUUACUUGUUAAAUAUUUUUUAAUUUGAUGUCCCUUCUUACUUGUCAUUUUUGAAAAAUCAAGGAAGGACAAAUUAUUUUUUGUUAUUAUACCUUCAAUUUUUUAACAUUGAGUUAAUAUUUUUGAAAAAUGAACUGAGUAAAUAUAUUUGGGAUCCUAUUAAUUAAUAAAAAUAAAAUGGUAAACUCACUAUAUCAAUUAAUAUUUUCUUAAUAAGUGUGCAAAGUAAAAAUUUGACAAGUAAAAAGGGACGAAGUGAGUAACUUAUGUAGAUGGUACCCUACUUUUGACUUAUUUUAAAACUUUUUUGGCCUAAAAGUAGGUGCUUAAAAACAUUUUCUAACAUUUUCAAACACCUCCAAAAUUUAAAAAAACUACUUAAAAAUCAAAAACACCUAAAAAUAAGUUAAUACAAACGUGCAUUAAGUUAGUGACAUUAAAUAUGAAAGGGAAAAUUACACGGAUAAGAAAACAUAUACUAGUUGAUUAGCUAAUGUAGCUCGCUAUAGUUUGAAUUAAUUACGGCUCACAAGUUAAAUUUAGCUGUAAUUACGUGGCCUCUCUCCUCUUUUAUACAUAUACAUAUACAAUUGUAUGACAGAUAUACAGAUACAAUUAGCCUCUCUCCACUCUCUGCCUUCUCUCGCUUGCCUCUCUCCUCCCGCUCCCAAUCUAAUCUCGCUCGUCAGAUAUACAAGUGCAUAUGUAUAUCAGUUACAUAUAUACAAUUAUCUGACAAAUAUACAUAUACAACUCGCCUCUCUCCACUCUCUGCUCUCUCUCGCUUGCCUCUCUCCUCCCUCUCCUAAUAGCAUUUGUCUCUCUCCUCCCUCUCCCAAUCUCGCUCGCCAGAUAUACAAAUACAUAUGUAUACCAGUUAUAUAUAUACAAUUAUUUGACAAAUAUACAUAUACAAUUCGACAGAUAUACAUAUAUAUUCGCCUCUCUCGCUCGCAUCUCUCCUCCCUCUCCCAAUCUCGCUCGCCUCUCUCCUCCCUCUCCCAAUCUCUCUCGCCUCUCUCCUCCCUCUAACAUGUAUUUAAGAAUCGUAAUUAGCAAACUAUAGCUAUGGAGCAUAAUUAAGUUAUUUUUGAGUGAAUAUAUGCGAAAAUUCCUCAAUAAGAAAUUGAGUCCAAUAAAAUGGUCUGAAAAUAAAUUAAAGAAGAGCUAAGGUGGUCUAAAUUCAUGGGCUGGCCCAGUCAGCUUAGGCCCAUUAAUUCCGAACAUCCCCCUCAAGCUGGAAGCCCUAAAAGGUUCCACGCAUAAUAACAUAGUUUUUAUCUGAGCUAUCCUAUAUAAUAACACGAUCGUUGAUGCCGUUCCGAGCCCAAAUCUAGCUUGGAAAGUAACAUUGUGUUGCUCUAUGUCAAAGAAUUUAGUAGGAACAUCAACCAAGUGUAAUGUAGUAGGAAUUACAUAUUGCAAGGAAAUCAGUCCCUCAUUUAACUUUCUCGCUCAAAGUUAUAGUCAAUCUCAAUGUGUUUAAUGCGUUCGUGGAAAAUAGAAUUAUUGACGAAUAAAAAAAGUUUCAAAAAAAAAUAAUUAACUUACUUUUCACUUUUGAAGUUGUACUUGAAUAUGUUCAAAUAUGAAUAUUAUUUCGAAUAUUCUUUUCAUGAUGUAUAAUAAAAUACUACUUCAUCUUCUACUUCAACCACAUAAAUUUCAAAUAAAAUGAAAAAUAUUUGAAGUCUACAACCAAACACCUAUUAAGAAAUAUGAGAGAGUUGCAUUACAUCCUCAGAAUGUCAUGCAUUUAGAGGCAUUGAAACUAAGAGUCUGUUUGGAUUGACUUAAAAAUUGAUCAAAUUUACUUUUAAGUCAUUUUUAGUGGUUGGAAGUGUUUGACAAGAUUAAAAAUAACUUAAAAGAACACGAGUUAAUCUAUCCCCUUCUGCGAACCAAUUUUGGAAGUGUUUGGCAAGGAACAUAAUACUCUUCUUCGUGGAACUUCAUUGCCUCAUUGGACUCCCUCCGUCCAAUUGUCCCACCAAAAAAACUACUCCAUCUGUCUUCGUCUCAAUUUAUGUGACAUCUUUCGGACUUCUAGAUUCAAACAAGUAUUUUUUUUACAGUAGUUUUUUUUUUAUAAAUAUUUUGAAUCGUCAAGUAUUGUAACUUAUAGAACUUUUAUGUAGUAUCAAAUAUGUAAAUUUUAUUUCAAAAAAAUUAAAGAUGUCAUGCGUGAAUUCAUGAUCAAAAGUUAAACCGUUUGACGCCCGAAAUUUGAAUCGUAACACAUAAAUUGAAAAAAGGAAGUACUAUUUUCUAUUAAUAUGCUAUAUCAUGUGAUCUUCUACAAUCUUUCUAGCUUGAAGCAUGUUUUUUCAGAGGUGAGAAUUACUAGAAGUCCAUACAUAAUUAGCAGUAGCUAGGGUGAGCCCAAGCUCACACAAUAUUAUUUGUGUUUAAAUAAUAUAAACAGUAAAAAAGAUUGGGAUAAAUCUCCACCACAUUUUAAUAUACAAAGGUGGUUCUAAUGUCUUCCAUUCUCUUUAUGCUAAUCUGACUUUCUUCACAUCAGUAGGGUAGCAAAUAUUUUGCAAGAAGAUCUAAUAGUGUAUGGUAUUUUAUUAUUUUAAUUAUCAUGGCCAUUAAGACCACCAAGAGUAGUUGGCAAAUUAAAGUGCUUCUCUAAAAGUUUAAAGACACUUUUGGGAGACAGAGUGGCACUUAAGGAAAUGUAUGGAACACAUGUUAGAUAUUUUAUUUGUUCGUGUAAUAUAUCAUAAAUAUAAAAUAUUACAGUUGAAAUAAAAUGAACAAAAAAUGAAUUAAAAAGUAUUCAGGCUGAGAUGCGGAUAUCUCAUUCUCUUUAAGUAGAUUCAAGUCACUACGACAUAAUAUACACCGAUCCAACAAUAAUAUUCUCAACUUGUCCCCUCCAGAAUACAACAACCCACCAAAAUCGUACAACUUCUUAUAUGGUGAAUUUUAUGAAAAAAAUACUAUAUGGUUUGUUUGGAAGCAAAAAUAUUAAUAUAUAAUUAAAAUACCGAUCUAGGAUCGGCAUUUUUUAUGAACAUAUGAGUCACUACAACACCAAUCAUCACUGCAAACCAUUUCUAUUAUCACUAGCGAACAUAAAUAUUUCACAUUUAAUUUUAGUUUAUUAAAUUAUAUUUUUAAAUAUUUAAUUAUUCUUUAUUUAAAUUAUAUAUUUAUUAUGCUUAAGAUUGCUUAUUUAUUCUUCCUGGUCUUCGGGUCUAAAAUAAAUUAUGCAUAAACAAACAUUGUAAUCAUUAUGUAUUUUGAUCUAGAAACAAUGUCUUAAUCACUCAAAUGUACAUCUAAAUCGAGGUUUAUUAUCACUUAAAGAGAACAUAAGACAACACAAUAUCUUUUUUUUUUCCUUCCUCCGUUACCCAAAUUCUCAAAAAUCUAUCUAGGUACAUGUUGCUAUUGAAAAUAUUAAUGAUGAUUGAUGAACAUAGCCAAAUUUAGUAUUCCAAUUUACUUUAUAUAAUUAAAACAUAUGUCUACAUACUUAUCUAUAAAUAAACUACAUGAUUAAGGUUGUAGAUAUAAAUUGAUCACCCAUACACUUUCAAAUAAUGUACAGUCUGAAAGUGACCACUCCACUAUUUAUCAAACCAAUUAUAUCGAUAGAUUUACAUUCUUCUCAAUUAUAAAAGUAGAGUUCUCACUACAAAUAAAGCAAACAAAAAAAAAUGGAAGAAGAAGCAAAUUUAAGUAUCAAUAUGAGGAGAUUCCUCCUGAUUAUAAAUUGCUUAUUAUUAUCUGUUGGUGUUUGUGGUGGCCCUUUAAUGAUGCGUUUAUAUUUUGUUGAAGGUGGUUUAAGAAUAUGGUUUAAUAGUUGGUUACAAACCGGUGGAUGGCCACUCACAAUUAUACCAUUAGUCAUCUUAUAUUUCUAUCGACGAAAAACCAAGGGCUCUGAUACUAAGUUUUAUUAUAUAACGCCUCGUAUUUUCAUUGCAUCAUUCGUUAUUGGCAUUUUAACGGGUGUUGAUGCUUACCUCUAUUCAUGGGGCGGGUCGAAACUCCCCGUGUCAACGUCUUCCCUUCUCAUCGCAGCUCAACUUGCCUUCACGGCGAUAGGGGCUUACUUCAUAGUAAAGCUAAAAUUUACGUCAUAUUCGAUUAACGCUGUGGUUUUAUUGACACUUGGCGCGGUUUUAUUGGGUAUGCGAUCGAACGGUGAUCGACCAGAGGGUGUUACAGUAAAGACUAUGUUAUUGGUUUUAUUAUGACACUUUUGGCUGCAGCUUUGUAUGGACUUAUUUUGCCUUGUAUUGAGUUGAUGUAUUUGAAGGCAAAAAAAGCUAUUACUGCAACAUUGGUGUUGGAGAUUCAAAUGGUCAUGUGUUUUGCUUCUACUGCUUUUUGCACCAUUGGAAUGAUUGCUAACAAAGAUUUUCAGGUAUAUUUUUUAACGAGAUCGAUUCAGAAUUUAAAAUUUACAUGGUCUAAACUCUAGAGUUCAUAUUUGUAUAGUUGAAGGAAGUUGUGUUUUUAUAUAUGUACAUAUUCAGUCGAUUUCUUAUAAACAAAUGUGUAGGGUUAGGGUUUGGACUAGGGUAGAUAGGUGAAGAUCGCGGAUUAGGGUAAAAGAUUAAUGGAUAGUGGAGUGUUCUCUUACUUCUCAAAGGGUUUAAGCUUAAAUAGUGUUGGUUGUAUGAAGUAAUAGCUUUAUUUUUGUAGUGUCUUGGUUUGACUUUCUACCACCAUCAAUUUUAUGAUAUUUCAAUUAUUGCAAUAUUUUGUUAUUGUUAAUGUUUAUGUAGUAGUUGCUAUAUUUUCUACUCCGUCAUUUUUCCUUUUCAUACUUACUCUGAUUGCUCUACUCGAAUUGAGAGCUUUUCGAAAAUAGUCUAUUUCUUUACCAGAUAGUGAUAAGGUCUGCGUGCGCUGUGUCGAUAUAGCAUUUAAUUUUCAACUCACAUGGAUAUAUCUACCACACCUUAAUUGCAAUCUCUAUACUCUCUUCAUUUAAUUCAUAUAACAUGCCACUUAUUAUUUUUGUAGGCAAUAUCAAGGGAAGCAAAACAUUUUAACCUUGGAGAAGGUAGAUAUUACAUAGUUGUAAUAUGGAGUGCCAUAAUUUGGCAAUGUUUCUUUGUUGGUGCUGUUGGAGUUAUUUACCUCUCUUCUUCUUUAAUGUCUGGAGUUAUGAUUGCAGUUUUACUGCCAAUUACUGAAGUAUUAGGAGUAAUUUUCUUUGAUGAAAAAUUCUCAGCUGAAAAGGGACUUUCAUUUUUUCUUUCUCUUUGGGGUUUUGUUUCUUAUUUUUAUCGAGAAUUUAAACAAGCAAAGAAAGUUGAGAAGAAGAAAAUUCAAGAAAAUGAGAUGACAACAACAACACAAAUAGAACAUGUUUGACUUACUAUUUAUGGUUGUUACCUAUCCUAUUGUAUCGUAUGAUUAAAUUCGUCGUUAUAUAAUGAUGAAAAGUGUCAUUUUAUGUAAUGACUAGCUUAAUGUUGUCGUGAUGCUACCUUGUUUUCUGAUUACUUGGUAGUUGUAUAGUUGAAGGAAGUUGUGUUUUUAUAUAUGUACAUAUUCAGUCGAUUUCUUAUAAACAUGAUGUGUAGGGUUUGGACUAGGGUAGAUAUGUGGAGAUCGCGGAUUAGGAUAAAAGAUUAAUGGAUAGUGGAGUGUAAUUCUCCUGCUACUCAAAGGGUUUAAGCUUAAAUAGUGCUGUUUGUCGUAUGUAGUAAUAGCUUUAUUUUUGUAGGGUCUUGGUUUGACUUUCUACCACCAUCAAUUUUAUGAUAUUUCGAUUAUUGCAAUAUUUUGUUAUUGUUAAUGUUUAUGUAGUAAUUGCUAUAUUUUCUACUCCAUCAUUUUUCCUUUUCAUACUUAGAGCCCGUUUGGAUUGACUUAAAAAAAGUAACUUUUAAAAAGUAACUUUUUAAAGUGCUGGAACUUAUUUUAAAAAUAAGUAGUUAUGUGUUUGGAUAAAAGUGCUGCAGUUGAAAAAAAAAGUUGUUGAUGUGUUUGGCAAAUAAGUGCUGGUAAACACUUUUUUUAAUCAAAAUGUCUGAAAUACCCUUUAAGCUGUUAACAUGAUAAAAAGUUGAUUAAUUUAAGGUUUUUAUACUUAAAAAUAAAUUUAUAUUUUCCAUCCAUAAGUAAUAAUAUUUUCCUAUCAUUCACAUAUUUCUUUACCACCACAAAUUAUUUAUAAGAGGAAUAAUAAUAAUAAAUAAUAAUAAUAAUAAAAAUAAUAACAAUAAUAAUAAUAACAAUAACAAUAANNNNNNNNNNNNNNNNNNNNNNNNNNNNNNNNNNNNNNNNNNNNNNNNNNNNNNNNNNNNNNNNNNNNNNNNNNNNNNNNNNNNNNNNNNNNNNNNNNNNNNNNNNNNNNNNNNNNNNNNNNNNNNNNNNNNNNNNNNNNNNNNNNNNNNNNNNNNNNNNNNNNNNNNNNNNNNNNNNNNNNNNNNNNNNNNNNNNNNNNNNNNNNNNNNNNNNNNNNNNNNNNNNNNNNNNNNNNNNNNNNNNNNNNNNNNNNNNNNNNNNNNNNNNNNNNNNNNNNNNNNNNNNNNNNNNNNNNNNNNNNNNNNNNNNNNNNNNNNNNNNNNNNNNNNNNNNNNNNNNNNNNNNNNNNNNNNNNNNNNNNNNNNNNNNNNNNNNNNNNNNNNNNNNNNNNNNNNNNNNNNNNNNNNNNNNNNNNNNNNNNNNNNNNNNNNNNNNNNNNNNNNNNNNNNNNNNNNNNNNNNNNNNNNNNNNNNNNNNNNNNNNNNNNNAAAAAAAAAAAAAGCUCCCCUCACCUAGCUUUUAGCUUUUGGCUUAAAAUAAGUCAUUUCUGACUUAAAAUAAGUCACUUUGAUAAUUGCCAAACACUCUAAUAAGUCAAAAACUGGCUUAAAAGCCAGUUUGACCAGCUUAAAAGUCCAUCCAAACAGGCUCUUACUCUAAUUGCUCUACUCGAAUUGAGGGCUUUUUGAAAAUAGUCUAUUUCUUUACCUUCACAAGAUAGUGAUAAGGUCUGCGUGCGUUGUCUCAGUAUAGCAUUUAAUUUCCUCUAUUUUCAACUCACAUGGAUAUAUCUACCACACCUUAAUUGCAAUCUCUAUACUCUCUUCAUUUAAUUCAUAUAACAUGUAUCUUACAUUAUUUUUGUAGGCAAUAUCAAGGGAAGCAAAACAUUUUAACCUUGGAGAAGGUAGAUAUUACAUAGUUGUAAUAUGGAGUGCCAUAAUUUGGCAAUGUUUCUUUGUUGGUGCUGUUGGAGUUAUUACCUCUCUCUUCUUUAAUGUCUGGAGUUAUGAUUGUCAGUUUUACUGCCAAUUACUGAAGUAUUAGGAGUAAUUUUCGUUGAUGAAAAAUUCUCGGCUGAAAAGGGACUUUCACUUUUUCUUUCUCUUUGGGGUUUUGUUUCUUAUUUUUAUGGAGAGUUCAAACAAGCAAAGAAAGUUGAGAAAAAGAAAAUUCAAGAAAAUGAGAUGACAACAACAACACAAAUAGAACAUGUUUGACUUACUAUUUAUGGUUGUUACCUAUCCUAUUGUAUCGUAUAGUUAAAUUCGUCGUUAUAUAAUGAUGAAAAGUGUCAUUUUAUGUAAUGACUAGCUUAAUGUUGUCGUGAUGCUACCUUGUUUUCUGAUUACUUGGUAGUAUUUAAUUAUAAGUUAUAUUUGGCAUAUAUAA
rnacentral:lncRNA from 1 species